GGCAGUGUUUUGCCGGAUUUGGAUACCUGGGUUUGGACUUAUUGCCAAGCCUUUAAAUGACUCAGUUCAGUCUAUUCUCAUUCUCCAACAAUAUCAACCUGUGUUUAACUUUCUUCUCUCUCUUCUUUAGACUCAGUGGGAGUAUCUUUCUGAUCUCAAAUCUCCAGUGACUUGGAAUCUAUCCUGACAGAGAACAAGGACAUUAUGGAUGGCAGGGAUCAGUUUCCACCUAAAUGUGUGCCGUGGAUCAAACUGCUGUUGCCCUAUGUGCUCCACUUUCCCUCAGGCUCCCUUGACAGAGAACAAGAACUCCUGGGCACAUAGGCUCCCCUUGUUUCUCAUUGCGUCCUGAAAAGAGAUUGCAUCAUCUCUCAUACUGGCGCAAACAACGGAAAACAAAAACAGCCAAAACAAAUGGUGGUGUCCUAAUGCUAGACUCAGGUUCAGAUCGGAAGAGACACCAAGUACUGGAAACAUUAUUUCCUUCAUCGCGACCAUGCCUGGUAUUAUUCAAAGUAAAGCAAUGCCAAGUUACCUGAAAUUUAGAGAUGCAAAGAUUCGCUUUAUUGCCUGGACAUGAGAGCAGUGGCAUGAUCAUAGCUCACUGCAACUUCAAAAUCCUGUGCUCAAGUGAUUCUCCUGCCUCAGCCU